rnacentral:rRNA from 1 species
UACGUAGGGGGCAAGCGUUGUCCGGAUUUAUUGGGCGUAAAGAGCGUGUAGGCGGCCAGGUAGGUCAGCUGUGAAAACUCGAGGCUCAACCUCGAGACGUCGGUUGAAACCACCUGGCUAGAGUCCGGAAGAGGAGAGUGGAAUUCCUGGUGUAGCGGUGAAAUGCGCAGAUAUCAGGAGGAACACCGGUGGCGAAGGCGGUUCUCUGGGCAUUACCUGACGCUGAGGAGCGAAAGUGUGGGGAGCGAACAGG